UAUUGUUUUAGUAUGAUGUCAGUUGGCCGGAUUUGAAGUGGAAUGUGUGAAACACAUUUGACUGUUAAUAAUGAAUUUACUCAACACCAUGUGACCAUCAAACCACAACUGACAACUUGGCAUGGAAAAAUGUGUCUAUCAACCUCACUUCAAGGCAGCCGAUAUGGGACCACAAGAACUCUAUGAUCUAUCAGCUCUGCUCAACACUCCAAAGGAUAAACAACUGACUGUGUUGUGAAGUCUGACACUAUUUUGGGGGACAUGUUAUUGCAAGUUAUAUGGAGCUCCUUCAGCCUCCAACUCCUAAUAAAAGAUUCAGAAAUGGACAACAAAUAAAUGACUAAAUUGCCUAAUGUGUUGAGGUUGAUUUGUAAUGUGUUCUUUGUAAUGUAUUG